rnacentral:rRNA from 1 species
AUUGAACGCUGGCGGCAGGCCUAACACAUGCAAGUCGAGCGGUAGAGCGAAGCUUGCUUCUCUUGAGAGCGGCGGACGGGUGAGUAAUGCCUAGGAAUCUGCCUGGUAGUGGGGGAUAACGUUCGGAAACGGACGCUAAUACCGCAUACGUCCUACGGGAGAAAGCAGGGGACCUUCGGGCCUUGCGCUAUCAGAUGAGCCUAGGUCGGAUUAGCUAGUUGGUGGGGUAAUGGCUCACCAAGGCGACGAUCCGUAACUGGUCUGAGAGGAUGAUCAGUCACACUGGAACUGAGACACGGUCCAGACUCCUACGGGAGGCAGCAGUGGGGAAUAUUGGACAAUGGGCGAAAGCCUGAUCCAGCCAUGCCGCGUGUGUGAAGAAGGUCUUCGGAUUGUAAAGCACUUUAAGUUGGGAGGAAGGGCAGUAAAUUAAUACUUUGCUGUUUUGACGUUACCGACAGAAUAAGCACCGGCUAACUCUGU